UGCAGUCGAACGAUGAAGCGGAUGCUUGCACCGUGGAUUAGUGGCGAACGGGUGAGUAAUACGUGAGNGACCUACCUUUGACUCUGGGAUAAGCCUGGGAAACUGGGUCUAAUACCGGAUACGACCAAUCUCUGCAUGGGGUGUUGGUGGAAAGCGUUAUGGAGUGGUUUUAGAUGGGCUCACGGCCUAUCAGCUUGUUGGUGAGGUAAUGGCUUACCAAGGCGACGACGGGUAGCCGGCCUGAGAGGGUGACCGGCCACACUGGGACUGAGACACGGCCCAGACUCCUACGGGAGGCAGCAGUGGGGAAUAUUGCACAAUGGGCGCAAGCCUGAUGCAGCGACGCCGCGUGAGGGAUGACGGCCUUCGGGUUGUAAACCUCUGUUAGCAUCGAAGAAGCGAAAGUGACGGUAGGUGCAGAGAAAGCGCCGGCUAACUACGUGCCAGCAGCCGCGGUAAUACGUAKGGCGCGAGCGUUGUCCGGAAUUAUUGGGCGUAAAGAGCUUGUAGGCGGUUGGUCGCGUCUGCUGUGAAAGGCCGGGGCUUAACUCCGGUUUUGCAGUGGGUACGGGCUAACUAGAGUGCAGUAGGGGAGACUGGAAUUCCUGGUGUAGCGGUGGAAUGCACAGAUAUCAGGARGAACACCGAUGGCGAANGCAGGUCUCUGGG
rnacentral:rRNA from 1 species